rnacentral:rRNA from 1 species
AUUGAACGCUGGCGGCAGGCCUAACACAUGCAAGUCGAGCGGAGCGGCGGACGGGUGAGUAAUGCCUAGGAAUCUGCCUGGUAGUGGGGGAUAACGUCCGGAAACGGGCGCUAAUACCGCAUAAUAUCAGAUGAGCCUAGGGCUGAUUAGCUAGUUGGUGGGGGAAAGGCCUACCAAGGCGACGAUCCGUAACUGGUCGGAGAGGAUGAUCAGUCACACUGGAAAUGAGACACGGUCCAGACUCCUACGGGAGGCAGCAGUAGGGAAUCUUGGGCAAGGGGCGAAAGCCUGAUGGAGCAAUGCCGCGGGUGUGAAGAAGGUCUUCGGAUUGUAAAACUCUGUAAGUUGGGAAGCGGUACCUACCGAGUAAGCAACGGCUAACUACGUGCCAGCAGCCGCGGUAAUAC